rnacentral:rRNA from 1 species
AUUUUGGUUUGUUUGUCUUUCGGGGCAUUCAGGUCAACUUGGCUUUUACUCACUGUUGUCAUUGUCUUUGCCCAAGGUAUAUGCCUUGUGUGCAUGGCAUUGACCUUCUAUUUUAUGGUAAUGUUGUAUCUUUCGGGGUACAUUCAUUCCAUAUAGUUUACUUUGAAAAAAUUAGGGUGUUUAAAGCAGGCGAAAAGGCUUCGGAAUAUAUUAGCAUGGGAUAAUAGAAUACGAUCUAGGUCGUAAUUUGUUGGUUUCUACGGCUUAGGUAAUGAUUGACAGGGAUGUUGGGGUCGCUCGUAUUGAGUUGUCAGAGGUGAAAUUCUAGGAUUAACUCAAGACGAACUAAUGCGAAAGCAUUCGGCAAGGAUGUUUUCAUUAAUCAAGAACGAAAGUUGGGGGAUCGAAGAUGAUCAGAUACCGUCGUAGUCUCAACUGUAAACUAUGUCGACCGAGGAUCCGGUAGCGUUACAUGGAUGACCUUCCGGGCACUCUGUGAGAAAUCAUAAGUAUUUGGAUUUCGGGGGGAGUAUGGUCGCAAGGCUGAAACUUAAAGGGAUUGACGGAAGGGCACCACCAGGAGUGGAAUCUGCGGCUUAAUUUGACCCAACACGGGAAAACUUACCAGGUCCGGACACAGUGAGGAUUGACAGAUUGAGAGCUCUUUCUUGAUUUUGUGGGUGGUGGUGCAUGGCCGUUUUUAGUUGGUGGAGUGAUUUUGUCUGGUUAAUUCCGUUAACGAACGAGACCUUAACCUAUUAAAUAGCUGCGCGAACCCAGGUUCUUUAACCAUUCUCUCCUUCGGGGGGGCGUGGUAUCAUUAUUUUGCUUUUCACUUUCGGGUGGGAGGUAGGGUAGUGAUAGGGCCUGAGAUGAGUUGGUGAUUUGGCUUCUUAGAGGGACUACUUGCAUCCUUAGCAAGGGGAGGUUUGAGGCAAAAACAGGUCUGUGAUGCCCUUCGAUGUUCUGGGCUGCACGCGCGUUACACUGGCGCAUGCAAAGAGUUUAAAAUUCCUGUCCCGAUGGGGUUGGGAAAUCUUUUUAAAGUGCGUCGUGAUGGGGAUAGAGCAUUGAAAUUAUUGCUCUUGAACGAGGAAUUCCUAGUAAUUGCAGGUCAUCAACCUGCAAUGAUUACGUCCCUGCCCUUUGUACACACCGCCCGUCGCUCCUACCGAUGGUUGAACCGAUGAGGACUCGGGAUGAUCUUAUUAGAUCGGUCGGUCGAAAGAUCGAUAGACUAUUAGGUCAGAACUUGUUCAAAUCUUUUUAACUAGAGGAAGGAGAAGUCGUAACAAGGUUUCCGUAGGUGAACCUGCGGAAG